rnacentral:rRNA from 3 species
UGACCUCAAAUCAGGUAGGAUUACCCGCUGAACUUAAGCAUAUCAAUAAGCGGAG